UCAAGUCCCUCUAUCCCC
rnacentral:tRNA from 2 species